AUGGCUCAGGAUGAACGCUGGCGGCGUGCUUAACACAUGCAAGUCGAACGAAGCAGUUUAUUACGAUCCCUUCGGGGUGACGAUUUACUGACUGAGUGGCGGACGGGUGAGUAACGCGUGGGUAACCUGCCUUGUACAGGGGGACAACAGUUGGAAACGACUGCUAAUACCGCAUAAGCGCACAGUGUCGCAUGACACAGUGUGAAAAGUUUUUUCGGUACAAGAUGGACCCGCGUCUGAUUAGCUAGUUGGUGAGGUAACGGCCCACCAAGGCGACGAUCAGUAGCCGACCUGAGAGGGUGACCGGCCACAUUGGGACUGAGACACGGCCCAAACUCCUACGGGAGGCAGCAGUGGGGAAUAUUGCACAAUGGGCGAAAGCCUGAUGCAGCGACGCCGCGUGAGCGAAGAAGUAUUUCGGUAUGUAAAGCUCUAUCAGCAGGGAAGAUAAUGACGGUACCUGACUAAGAAGCACCGGCUAAAUACGUGCCAGCAGCCGCGGUAAUACGUAUGGUGCAAGCGUUAUCCGGAUUUACUGGGUGUAAAGGGAGCGUAGGCGGUUUUACAAGUCUGAUGUGAAAGCCCGGGGCUCAACUGCGGUAUUGCAUUGGAAACUGUAGAACUAGAGUGUCGGAGGGGUAAGUGGAAUUCCUAGUGUAGCGGUGAAAUGCGUAGAUAUUAGGAGGAACACCAGUGGCGAAGGCGGCUUACUGGACG
rnacentral:rRNA from 1 species